rnacentral:rRNA from 1 species
GGAUCAUUACAGAGAAUGUCGUAAGACAAACUCCCGUUCUUGUUUUUGCCCCAUUGCCUUGCCUUCGGGCAGCAUUUAAUUCUGAAUCAGUGUUGUCUGAGUAUUAUUUAAAAGUUAAAACUUUCAACAACGGAUCUCUUGGUUCUGGCAUCGAUGAAGAACGCAGCGAAAUGCGAUAAGUAAUGUGAAUUGCAGAAUUCAGUGAAUCAUCGAAUCUUUGAACGCACAUUGCGCCCUCUGGUAUUCCGGAGGGCAUGCCUGUUCGAGCGUCAUUACACCCUCAAGCCUCGCUUGGUGUUGGGAGCUGCCUGCGCACUCCUCAAAAACAGUGGUGACGGCUGAUCAACUCACGCGUAGUAAUACUUCACGACGAUGAGAUCAGUCUCCCCCAGAAAGCCUCUUGUUUGACCUC